rnacentral:rRNA from 1 species
GACAGAGGGCUCAAACGUUGUUCGGAAUUACUGGGCAUAAAGCGCACGCAGGCGGCUUGCUAAGUCGGUUGUGAAAUCCCUUGGCUCAACCGGGGAACUGCGUCCGAUACUGGUGGGCUCGAAUCCGGGAGAGGGAUGUGGAAUUCCAGGUGUAGCGGUGAAAUGCGUAGAUAUCUGGAGGAACACCGGUGGCGAAGGCGGCAUCCUGGACCGGUAUUGACGCUGAUGCGCGAAAGCCAGGGGAGCAAACGGG